UACGUAGGGCGCGAGCGUUGUCCGGGAUUAUUGGGCGUAAAGAGCUCGUAGGCGGCCUGUCGCGUCGGUUGUGAAAGCCCGGGGCUCAACCCCGGGUCUGCAGUCGAUACGGGCAGGCUAGAGUUCGGUAGGGGAGAUCGGAAUUCCUGGUGUAGCGGUGAAAUGCGCAGAUAUCAGGAGGAACACCGGUGGCGAAGGCGGAUCUCUGGGCCGAUACUGACGCUGAGGAGCGAAAGCGUGGGGAGCGAACAGG
rnacentral:rRNA from 1 species